rnacentral:rRNA from 1 species
GACGAACGCUGGCGGCGUGCUUAACACAUGCAAGUCGAACGGAAAGGCCCUGCUUUUGUGGGGUGCUCGAGUGGCGAACGGGUGAGUAACACGUGAGUAACCUGCCCUUGACUUUGGGAUAACUUCAGGAAACUGGGGCUAAUACCGGAUAGGAGCUCCUGCUGCAUGGUGGGGGUUGGAAAGUUUCGGCGGUUGGGGAUGGACUCGCGGCUUAUCAGCUUGUUGGUGGGGUAGUGGCUUACCAAGGCUUUGACGGGUAGCCGGCCUGAGAGGGUGACCGGCCACAUUGGGACUGAGAUACGGCACAGACUCCUACGGGAGGCAGCAGUGGGGAAGAUUGUACAAUGGGCGGAGGCCUGAUGCAGCAACGCCGCGUGCGGGAUGACGGCCUUCGGGUUGUAAUCCGCUUUCGCCUGUGACGAAGCGUGAGUGACGGUAAUGGGUAAAGAAGCACCGGCUAACUACGUG